ensembl:lncRNA
AACUGGUCCUGUUGACCUAAACCUGGUACCAGAACUGGUCCUGUUGACCUAAACCUGGUACCAGAACUGGUCCUGUUGACCUAAACCUGGUACCAGAACUGGUCCUGUUGACCUAAACCUGGUACCAGAACUGGCCCUGUUGUUAUAAACCUGGUACCAGGUCUGGUCCUGUUGACCUAAACCUGGUACCAGGUCUGGCCCUGUUGACAUAAACCUGGUACCAGGUCUGGCCCUGUUGACCUAAACCUGGUACCAGGUCUGGCCCUGUUGACCUAAACCUGGUACCAGGUCUGGCCCUGUUGACCUAAACCUGGUACCAGGUCUG